rnacentral:rRNA from 1 species
GCUAAUACCGGAUGUGCCCUUCGGGGGAAAGAUUUAUCGCCUUUAGAGCGGCCCGCGUCUGAUUAGCUAGUUGGUGAGGUAAUGGCUCACCAAGGCUACGAUCAGUAGCUGGUCUGAGAGGAUGACCAGCCACAUUGGGACUGAGACACGGCCCAAACUCCUACGGGAGGCAGCAGUGGGGAAUCUUGCGCAAUGGGCGA